rnacentral:rRNA from 1 species
CCUACGGGAGGCAGCAGUGGGGAAUAUUGGACAAUGGGGGCAACCCUGAUCCAGCCAUGCCGCGUGUGUGAAGAAGGCCCUCGGGUUGUAAAGCACUUUCAGUGAGGAAGAACGCCUGGUGGUUAAUACCCAUCAGGAAAGACAUCACUCACAGAAGAAGCACCGGCUAACUCCGUGCCAGCAGCCGCGGUAAUACGGAGGGUGCGAGCGUUAAUCGGAAUUACUGGGCGUAAAGCGCGCGUAGGUGGCUUGAUAAGCCGGUUGUGAAAGCCCCGGGCUCAACCUGGGAACGGCAUCCGGAACUGUCAAGCUAGAGUGCAGGAGAGGAAGGUUGAAUUCCCGGUGUAGCGGUGAAAUGCGUAGAGAUCGGGAGGAAUACCAGUGGCGAAGGCGGCCUUCUGGACUGACACUGACACUGAGGUGCGAAAGCGUGGGUAGCAAACAGGAUUAGAUACCCCUGUAGUC